UGGGGAAUUUUGGACAAUGGGCGAAAGCCUGAUCCAGCAAUGCCGCGUGUGUGAAGAAGGCCUUCGGGUUGUAAAGCACUUUUGUCCGGAAAGAAAUCCUUGGCUCUAAUACAGUCGGGGGAUGACGGUACCGGAAGAAUAAGCACCGGCUAACUACGUGCCAGCAGCCGCGGUAAUACGUAGGGUGCAAGCGUUAAUCGGAAUUACUGGGCGUAAAGCGUGCGCAGGCGGUUUGCUAAGACCGAUGUGAAAUCCCCGGGCUCAACCUGGGAACUGCAUUGGUGACUGGCAGGCUAGAGUAUGGCAGAGGGGGGUAGAAUUCCACGUGUAGCAGUGAAAUGCGUAGAGAUGUGGAGGAAUACCGAUGGCGAAGGCAGCCCCCUGGGCCAAAUACUGACGCUCAUGCACGAAAAGCGUGGGGAGCAAAACAGGAUUAGAUACCCUGGUAGUCCACGCCCUAAACGAUGUCAACUAGUUGUUGGGGAUUCAUUUCCUUAGUAACGUAGCUAACGCGUGAAGUUGACCGCCUGGGGAGUACGGUCGCAAGAUUAAAACUCAAAUGAAUUGACGGGGUCAUAGCUGUU
rnacentral:rRNA from 1 species